GCCGAUGUAGCUCAGUUGGCCAGAGCACGUGAUUUGUAAUCUCGGGGUCGGGGGUUCGAAUCCCUCCAUCGGCU
rnacentral:tRNA from 1 species